UUUGUUGCUGGACUUCAGUAUUUACCCCUCCAAAGCAAACUGAACUUUUGGUCAGAUUAGCUUUCAGCCCAGAAGCUUCAGUGAAUUGAGAGAAGUACUUGAACAUGGUAAUUACAGAUUGUUUAUCACCUUUAGCAAACAGCAGCAGGUCAUCAGCAAAGCUGAUAUGAGAUGCCCAGUUUCUUACAGCCUGGAUGGAAUAUAAAAUCUUG
rnacentral:lncRNA from 1 species